CUAUUUCUUAGGGAGAUCCAGGUGCUCCUGGGGCUUUGGGCAGGAAAGGAGAAAAAGGAUCCCAAGGUCAGCCAGGACAUAAAGGAGCACCAGGACUACCCGGGUUCAGAGGAGAAACAGGAGUUGCUGGAAACCCAGGGAAACUUGGACUUCCUGGAGAUGUUGGUGUUAAAGGACAGCAGGGCCACCCAGGACAACAGGGUGUUACAGGCCCUCCUGGUGCUGCUGGAUACCCUGGAGAAAAUGGACUUGCUGGUGAAAGAGGUAAUCAGGGUCAGGAUGGUAUGCCGGGUGCCCCAGGAGUAAAGGGAGAACCAGGUAACUGCAGUGAAAUACUUGCGUUAUAUUUUAAAAAUUACUUUUUU
rnacentral:lncRNA from 1 species